rnacentral:lncRNA from 1 species
CCUAAAUACAAACUCUACUACAAAAAUCAAGUUAACACAAACCAUAACCACAAACCCAAUUAGCAGAACCCACAAGUCACCUACCAUUUGUCUCUCCCUCCUUCCCCUUCGGCCUUCCACUCCCACACUCACUUUGAUCUCUCUCUCUCUCUCUCUCUCUCUCUCUCUCUCUCUCCCCCCUCCCCUCCCCCCCCGCCCCCUCAAUCUGACCAACCUCCAACACUAGGGCUGGGAGCGAUGGAGAUCGCUCGAUUGCCCACAGUCCAUCCCAUCCUCUUGUUUCCCCCGCCACCUCCGCCAUCUGAUCUGAAACCAAUUUUCGCUAGUUCACAACCUCUACAAGCUGCAAUUUUUUUUGUUCGGUUUUUUCACAAAUUAAAUUUGUAGAAAUCAAAAGGAAAUAAAAAAGUCAAGAUCAAAACCCUAAAGCCUAAGAGGGCCUGAAGAGUGAAAAGGCCUGAAAAUGAGAGCUUGUUGCGAACAAGAUCGUAGGUGGCGAUAUGAGGUACGCCGAAAAGGUUAUAGGCUUUUGAUAUUUUCCUUUUUGAUGAUCAUUAUUGUUCCAAUUUAGUUAGUGAAAAAAAGAAUUAUAAAGGGCUGGCUAAGGGGAACAAAAUCUUCGUCAGGAAAACUAACGAGGAACGAGCGACGUGAGAGAAGGAGGUGGGGGGAGGUGCAUUGGGAAGAGGAGGGGAGAAAGUGUUUUUCUAAAACCCCCACCCUCAAGCCUAACGCCACGAUACAACCACUUUCAUACCCAAACGAGAUCCACCCCUAGCCCCACCUGAGACCCAUCCAG